AGCCACUAGCUCAGUCGGUAGAGCACAAGACUUUUAAUCUUGGUGUCCGGGGGUUCGAUUCCCCCGGUGGCUC
rnacentral:tRNA from 1 species